GUAUUAAUUGCGUGUGAUCGCAAAAGAAAAACAUUCUACACUGUAUCGAGUUUGUGUGAAAACGUGAGCCCCCGAAAGGGGACCCACGCGGUGGUGCACAAAGGGGUAAGAUGGAUAUUUGUAUGUGAGAGGACUCGGGCGUGCACGACAAAAAAAAGCCAGCGACAACCCUCGUACCCCCAUUGUACGAUAAUGAUCCUUCCGCAGGUUCACCUACGGAAA
rnacentral:misc_RNA from 1 species